GCGCCUGUGGCUCAAUGGAUAGAGCAUUUGGCUUCGGACCAAAGGGUUGGGGGUUCGAGUCCCUCCGGGCGCGCCA
rnacentral:tRNA from 2 species